GAGCAAGGGAAAUGAGAGGGGGAAACACUAGAGAGGUGAAUGAGGGAGGGAACACCAGAGCAGGGGGAAUGACAGGGGGUAACGUAGGAGAUAUUCCUUUUUCAACCAAAACGUAGCGGUUGGAGAUUCAGCCUG